GUCCCAGGCUUCAUAGUGUCAAGUUCAACAGAAAGAGUAGUUUUCAUCUUUCCACAGUUCUUAGAAAAGUCCUGAGACUGAGUUUUACUGGGCAAUGUCAGUUUAGUAAAAGGGACAGGAUGUUAGCAAAGGAAGGCAUUACCAGCAAUAAGAAGUGAUAGCUGCCACGGGAAGCAAAUGCAGAAACAGCAGCCUGGGCUGUUCCAUGCAGGGGAGUUCAGCUCAGGUGGGCAAAACCAGAUAACUAACAUGAACAGUGGAACAAUCAGUGAACCAAUACAAGGGUUAAAUAAGCUAGCAAUUAAAAGCUGUAUCACUGGUCUAAAGAUAGAAGAUCAAGUAGAAAAUCAGCGCAAGAGGAAAGAUAUACGAAAACUAAUGACCUUCAAGGUUUGGCUGAACAGCUGAACUGCAGGAUGGAUUGGAAUGCCUAGAACCAGAAA
rnacentral:lncRNA from 10 species